GUUUCCUUCUCCCUAAACCCCGUGCAGGGCUGCCAGCAAUGAGCCCGCCAGCCUGGGUCCUCCACCCCUGCACACACCAGCUCUGUUCCUGAGGCUGUUCCCUGCACAGGAUGCUCCCCACGAUCUGGAGGGAAGGAGUGACCGCGUUCCAGAGAGCGCCACAGAUCCCAGCUGAGAAGAAACUACUGGGAGAGAGCCCACCGCAAUCGAUGUCUUUGGGACACCCAGCAGCAAAUGAGAGGACACUUUCCUCUUCUACCGUUUCUAAGUACGAAGUAGACCCAAGACCGCAGUCUGCUGGGAGAGACAGGCCGGGGGUGGUCCAGAACUUCCACUCCGGCGGGGAUCCCCGACCCCCGA
rnacentral:lncRNA from 1 species